rnacentral:rRNA from 1 species
UCGCCUGUUUAUCAAAAACAUGUCUUUUUGAAAAUAAUAAAAAGUCUAAUCUGCCCACUGAAUUUAUUUAAAGGGCUGCAGUAUAUUGACUGUACAAAGGUAGCAUAAUCAAUAGUCUUUUAAUUGAAGACUUGUAUGAAUGAUUUGAUGAAAUAUGAACUGUCUCUUUUUUAAAAAUAAAAUUUAAUUUUUUAGUUAAAAAGCUAAAAUAAUUAUAAAAGACGAGAAGACCCUAUAGAGUUUUAUAGUUAUUUAAUUUAAAAAUUUUAUAUAUAAUUUAAAUUUAAAAUUAAUUAAUUAUUUUAUUGGGGUGAUAGAAAAAUUAAAAAAACUUUUUUUAAAAAUUUAACAUUAAUUUAUGAAAUUAUGAUCCAUAAUUUAUGAUUAAAAGAAUCAAUUACCUUAGGGAUAACAGCGUAAUUUUUUUUUUUAGUACAAAUAAGAAAAAGAGUUUGCGACCUCGAUGUUGGAUUAAGAUAAAAUUUAAAUGCAAAAGUUUAAAAUUUUUGAUCUGUUCGAUCAUUAAAAUCUUACAUGAUCUGAGUUCAAACCGGAG